rnacentral:rRNA from 1 species
UACGUAGGGGGCAAGCGUUGUCCGGAAUUACUGGGCGUAAAGGGCUCGUAGGCGGCCAACUAAGUCCGACGUGAAAUCCCAAAGCUUAACUUUGGAACUGCGUCGGAUACUGGAUGGCUUGAAUUCGGGAGAGGGAUGCAGAAUUCCAGGUGUAGCGGUGAAAUGCGUAGAUAUCUGGAGGAAUACCGGUGGCGAAGGCGGCAUCCUGGACCGACAUUGACGCUGAUGAGCGAAAGCGAGGGGAGCAAACGGG